GAUGAACGCUAGCGGCAGGCCUAACACAUGCAAGUCGAGGGGUAACAGGUUUAGCAAUAAAUGCUGACGACCGGCGCACGGGUGAGUAUCGCGUUUGCAACCUACCUUUAACUGGGGGAUAGCCCGGAGAAAUUCGGAUUAAUACCCCAUAACAUCAUACUGAGGCAUCUCUGUAUGUUUAAAGCUCCGGCGGUUAAAGAUGGGCAUGCGUGACAUUAGUUAGUUGGUGAGGUAAUGGCUCACCAAGACAACGAUGUCUAGGGGGUCUGAGAGGAUGAUCCCCCACACUGGUACUGAGACACGGACCAGACUCCUACGGGAGGCUG
rnacentral:rRNA from 1 species